rnacentral:lncRNA from 1 species
AGAGACAGACAGAUGGAGAGAGGGGUAGUGUUGAGGCAUCAGACACAUCUCAUCUCUAAACCUUUCCCUGCAGAUCACCAUCUGAGUCAUGACUUCCCGUCGUUUGUCUUCAGUGAUCUGGUUGGUGCAAACGUAUGAGCAUCAGACACAUCUCAUCUCUAAACCUUUCCCUGCAGAUCACCAUCUGAGUCAUGACUUCCCGUCGUUUGUCUUCAGUGAUCUG